UACAGAGGUCUCAAGCGUUGUUCGGAUUCAUUGGGCGUAAAGGGUGCGUAGGUGGUGGGGGUAAGUCGGAUGUGAAAGCUCGGAGCUCAACUCCGAAAUGGCAUUGGAAACUACCCUGCUGGAGGUUUGGAGGGGGGACUGGAAUACUUUGGUGUAGCAGUGAAAUGCGUAGAUAUCAAGUGGAACACCAGUGGCGAAGGCGAGUCCCUGGACAAAACCUGACACUGAGGCACGAAAGCUAGGGGAGCAAACAGG
rnacentral:rRNA from 1 species